rnacentral:rRNA from 1 species
GACGAACGCUGGCGGCGUGCUUAACACAUGCAAGUCGUACGGUAAGGCCCUUUCGGGGGUACACGAGUGGCGAACGGGUGAGUAACACGUGAGUAACCUGCCCACAACUUUGGGAUAACGCUAGGAAACUGGUGCUAAUACUGGAUAUGUGCUCCUGCUGCAUGGUGGGGGUUGGAAAGCUCCGGCGGUUGUGGAUGGACUCGCGGCCUAUCAGCUUGUUGGUGGGGUAGUGGCCUACCAAGGCGGCGACGGGUAGCCGGCCUGAGAGGGUGACCGGCCACAUUGGGACUGAGAUACGGCCCAGACUCCGACGGGAGGCAGCAGUGGGGAAUAUUGCACAAUGGGCGCAAGCCUGAUGCAGCAACGCCGCGUGCGGGAGGACGGCCUUCGGGUUGUAAACCGCUUUCAGCAGGGACGAAGCUUUUUGUGACGGUACCUGCAGAAGAAGCACCGGCUAACUACGUG